rnacentral:rRNA from 1 species
ACGGGAGGCAGCAGUAGGGAGUUUUCGGCAAUGGGGGAAACCCUGACCGAGCAACGCCGCGUGAAUGAUGAAGGUCUUCGGAUUGUAAAGUUCUGUUAUAAGGGAAAAAUGAUAGGGUGAGGAAAUGCUCUCUAUUUGAUGGUACCUUAUUAGAAAGCCACGGCUAACUACGUGCCAGCAGCCGCGGUAAUACGUAGGUGGCAAGCGUUAUCCGGAAUUAUUGGGCGUAAAGAGUGAGCAGGCGGCAUGGUAAGUUUGAAGUGAAAGCGUGGGGCUUAACCCCAUACAGCUUCGAAAACUGCCAGGCUAGAGUGCGGGAGAGGUAAACGGAACUCCAUGUGUAGCGGUGAAAUGCGUAGAUAUAUGGAAGAACACCAGUGGCGAAGGCGGUUUACUAGCCCGAUACUGACGCUCAGUCACGAAAGCGUGGGGAGCAAAUAGGAUUAGAUACCCUGGUA